CUGAUAUUUGGGGGUCUAGACCCACAGGUUGAGAACUGGCACUCUCAAGAUUCCUGCAAUGCAAAGGUCACCAUACUUUCUGCCUACUAUGGGACGAGCAAGUGGUUCUUCUUAGUAAUCUGUGACCACGGCCACUCCUGUGCAUGGAAGAGAGACUGCGGGCCAGCUCCGCAGGUGCAACCAGGGAGAUCAUGCCAUACUUUGCUAUCAGCCUGCACAGCCCAGCGGUCCAGUUGGCGAGAGUCACACUCCCCCCGUGGCCUCACAGUGCUUCGCCACAGACCCGUGUGGCUCAGCCCAUGCUUCAUCAUGGACUGGUGCGACUCAGCUCAUGUGGAUCAUCUCAUACUGUGCACCUGCAUGGCUCAACCUCCUAGCUGUUCUUGCCAGGCUUUCCUGUCCACACAGCGAUCUGUCCCCUGUUGGGUAGAGUGAGCACUUAUGAAGAGACACACUAUUCCUUCCAAGGAAAAAGCCUGCAAUUAACUGGGGUUUGGGAAGAACACUCUGCCUCUGCUUCCACCCACGUUCUCAUUUAACAUAUUUUAUCAGAAUGAAAUGCCUUAAUGAGCACGGAACUGCAGCUAAUCCCAGCUGAACCUCUGCGUGUGCCAGCUCCGCUGCCCGCCCAUCAAGCUGCAUUCAUGCUCUGGUGUGGGCUCUUGGAGCACUGCCCUGGAACACCGACAGGAAACUCAGGGGCUUCCGGCCGAUGAAACACCAGAGUACACGCGGAGUAACUGUCUGCGCUCUGCGAGAGUCAGGAACAGAAACAUGGUGUCUAGACACUCAGAUUCCCAGCCUCACGAGCUGGUGCUGCCUGGCUUGUAGCUCCUGCUGCCUCCUGUUGUCUCCAGACAGACUUCGCCAUGUUUAAGAGACCAGUAGCCUGUGCUAUGCAGCCAUCCCUAAAGGAAGGCCAUGCACAGACCGCUCCUUCUGACAUGCCGUGAGCUCAGAGAGGUCUCCAGUUGACAGUGGAUCCAGGCCUCUGCUGUUUGGGAGAAAGUGGCCAUCCCGGACCACUGACACAUUCAUGUGGGUCAGGCAUUCCAAGCGUCUUGACUCCAGGCCCAGCAGAGGACAGCAGACAGCAUCAAUCACCACUGUUCCUCCCCAACCCCAGUGGCCUAAAGGGAUUUUCCAUGAUCAUGUCCUGGAGUUUCAUCAUGGUGACCAUUGUUACAGCUGGACUCACAAGCUUGUAGCCACCAGACUCCGUAGACGACCUGUUCUCACUCAGAGCACAUCUACUGAGGUGGCCGGCCUCUGGGAGGGGAUUCCGCUUGUCCCCAGUGCUUCUAGUGUCGUGAGGCAGAGCCCACCAGGCUGUCUCAGCCAGAGGCACCUCUUCAAUGGCCGCUUCUGCUGAGGCCUCUAAUUGCAGACUGGAAACUCCAAGCGCCUCUCACACAUCCGCUUAAAAACCCGCCUUUAUCUUCAUUUGCUCAGAAAAGAGCUUGCACGGCGUUAAUUUCCCAAGUGUUGUUUAAAUAAAUUGCACAUAUUUGCUACUGUUUUAAAGCUGUGAGACAAAUGUAAUAACAAAUCUGGU